rnacentral:lncRNA from 1 species
GUGUGUGUGUGUGUGUGUGUGUGUGUGUGUGUGUGUGUGCUUCAUUCUCAAAUCUUGUCAGUGUGCAUGACCUGCCAGGAGCAAAAGCUCAAGUAUUUGGCACUUAGCCUCCAGUAGGUGGCGCUGUUUGGGGAGGUUUAGAAGGUGUAGCCUUGGAGGAGGAAGUUUGUCGGUAGAGAUGGCCUUGGAAAGUGCACAGCCAACCCUACUUGCAGUUCAUUCUCUCUGUUUUCUGUUCGAAGUAAAAACCUGUAAUGAAGAUUGACUCUUAUCUCUUUGGAACUAUCAGCCAAAUUCUCUCUCGCUCUCUCUUCCAAGAUAGGGUUUCUCAGUGUAGCCCUGGCUGUCCUGGAACUCACUUUGUGGUCCAGGCUGGCCUCAAACGCUCAGAGAUCAGCUUCUGCCUCAUGCUGGUAUUAAUGGCAUGUGUUGCAACCACAUGCCCUGGCAGCCACCAGUGCAGUCACCAGGACUGCCUGCCACAGCCACCUCCUGGCAGUUUUCUCUU